rnacentral:rRNA from 1 species
CCUACGGGAGGCAGCAGUAGGGAAUCUUCCACAAUGGGCGAACGCCUGAUGGAGCAACGCCGCGUGGGUGAAGAAGGUCUUCGGAUCGUAAAACCCUGUUGUUAGAGAAGAAAGUGCGUGAGAGUAACUGUUCACGUUUCGACGGUAUCUAACCAGAAAGCCACGGCUAACUACGUGCCAGCAGCCGCGGUAAUACGUAGGUGUCAAGCGUUAUCCGGCUUUUUUGGGCGUAAAGGGAACGCAGGCGGUCUUGUAAGUCUGAUGUGAAAGCCUUCGGCUUAACCGGAGUAGUGCAUUGGAAACUGGGAGACUUGAGUGCAGAAGAGGAGAGUGGAACUCCAUGUGUAGCGGUGAAAUGCGUAGAUAUAUGGAAGAACACCAGUGGCGAAAGCGGCUCUCUGGUCUGUAACUGACGCUGAGGUUCGAAAGCGUGGGUAGCAAACAGGAUUAGAUACCCUUGUAGUC